UUUUGUUGGGUCGCUUAUUGAAAUGUUGCAAUAUAAAUGUGUACAUGACGUGGACUGGAUGACAAUACUGCGACUGCUUAUGAAGCUGGUGAAGGUGUGCCACAUGGGAGGAUGAUGAUGCUGAAGAAAAAUGAGUCGAAGCUUGACAGGUGAUCCGAAGCUGACUGAUGUCAAAAGCUGAAGACCUUGCUGGAAAAAUUUUAGAGAAAAAUCUUGUAAUAUCAUUGUAAAAAAUAUUUGUAAUUUAAGAAUCAGAUACUAAUUCUGUAAUUUGUGUAUACUUUGUAAUAUAUCUUUACCUUUUUGUCCAUG
rnacentral:lncRNA from 7 species